UGCACACAGAUGUUUCUUUGGUUUGUCUGUGUGUGGGAGGGAGAGACACACAGACACAGGCUAACAGCCACACGAAAGGCAAAGACAGAGCCUCUAGCCUGCCUGAACCGUCUUUCUCCGUGAAAUUGAGAGGACAGAGGUCCUUCUCGAAGCAAAUGAUGGUGGUGAUGGAGGUGAGAAGGGAGCGCAGGGAGAAAGACCAAGCACUAGGUAGCGAGCAAGGCUCAGGGGAAGAGAGCCGUGAAACGGCAGGAAGACAGGCCCGAUCCUCAGUUGAAGGCACUGCUCUCACCAUCCUGGAAUCUAAUACCUUCUGAAUGAGGAACCCACAAGUCCCUUUCCACUGGUGAAUUCUGUGUGUUUUUCAGGUGUGCUGUUGUUUCUCCAGUGGAGCCUGACGUAAGAAAAGAGGUCCCUGCCAGCCUGAAGCAAUAUCUAUGUAGAUUUACCUAAAGUUGGAGUAGCAAAUGUGGACUGUGAAUGACCCCCUCAUAGUCUGCCCCACACAAGGGGCACAGCCUCUGCAACCCCAUCAACUACAUUCGGGUUCUCCUUCCCACGUCUACCCAUAAGACACUCACUAAUGACACGGGGAGAAAUGGUCAUUCCACAGUGGAGCAACCUGACAGACACCAUCUUCAACAGGUGAGCAAAUUUAACAACAGCCGGUAAUGGGACAGACCGACUUUAUGUGCCUCAUGCUACAACGUACAAAGAAGAAACAUCACUUCUGUGGGGUUCCUGCCAAAUGUGUAUAAUCGAAACACCAGGAAACAUUCAACAAACCAAACUCAAAAGCUAUUCUACAGGCACAGUGAGCUCUACUCUUCAAAAAUGUCUAUGGCAUGAAAACACAAAGUGGACUGAGGAACUGUGCCACAUAAGGGAGACUGAAUUGGGACACGCAAUAAAUGAAUUCAAUGCGAGAAUGGAUUUUCUUUUGCAAUUAAAUGACAGUAUGGGGGCAACUGGUGAAAUCUUUGUCAAGUCUUUAGUUGAGAUAGUAGUGUUGUCAUCCAUGUGAAUUACUUGAUUUUUAUAGUUCUGUUAUGGUAAUACAACUAUAUAUGUUGUAUUACAUAUAUAUGAUAUAUUACAAUAUACUUCUUAUUUUUAGGAAAGACAUUAGGGGUGUCUUUCCUAAAAUAGGGGUGAAGGGGCAUCAUGUCUGCAAUUUAAUCUCACUUCACACACAUACACACACACACACACAAAGGGAAAAGGAUACACUAAACAGUGUGAAAUGUUCAUUUUGGAGGAAUCUGGAUGAAGAGCAUCAAUGGAGUCCUUGUAUUUUUUCACAGCUUUUUGUUUGAUGACGGAGGUCAUGCCUGAGGACAUCCAGGGGGCUGGUGGUGGAGGGAGGUAGGCUGGGGGCCACCUCUGUCUCAUGCCGUAAAUCCAGAGAGACAGAGGCAAAAUCCUUUUGCCUUUCCUUGCCCAUCAUUCUGUGGACUCUCCUUUGAGACCCUUCUGCCUCCUUCAUUGCCUGGUUCGAUCCCGGAUGGUGGAACAUAUGACAAAAGAAGAUACACCAGCUGCUGGGGAUCAGUGUUAAGAGUGAUGACUUCUCCCCAGAACUGUCCCUGAUUCAACAAUUUCUAAGUGUACUAGAGCGCUGAAUCAAUCUUUGGUUGAAAGGAAGGAUUUUUUUGAGCCUCUUCGUUGGCCUUAUUUAUUCUAGGCAGAUCUGUGACUCUGGGCUGGAGAGUCAAUCUGUGGUCCUCAAUUUGAACUCUGCUUUUGCAAUUUUCUUUAGGCCUUCUCUCAGUUAUCCAGGAAUAGCUUGAUAUGACAGUGUAAAAUUUAAAUAUUUUCAGGUUUUUAGGAAGGGAUCCUUCUACAUCAAGUUUU